GAGAUGAAAAUAAUGAAGUUGC
rnacentral:siRNA from 1 species